rnacentral:rRNA from 1 species
AGCGAACGCUGGCGGCAGGCUUAACACAUGCAAGUCGAGCGCCCCGCAAGGGGAGCGGCAGACGGGAGAGUACCACGUGGGAACAUACCUUUUGGUUCGGAACAACUGAGGGAAACUUCAGCUAAUACCGGAUAAGCCCUUACGGGGAAAGAUUUAUCGCCGAAAGAUUGGCCCGCGUCUGAUUAGCUAGUUGGUGAGGUAACGGCCCACCAAGGCGACGAUCAGUAGCUGGUCUGAGAGGAUGAUCAGCCUCACUGGGACUGAGACACGGCCCAGACUCCUACGGGAGGCAGCAGUGGGGAAUAUUGGACAAUGGGGGCAACCCUGAUCCAGCCAUGCCGCGUGAGUGAUGAAGGCCUUAGGGUUGUAAAGCUCUUUUGCCCGGGAAGAUAAUGACGGUACCGGGAGAAUAAGCCCCGGCUAACUUCGUG